rnacentral:sRNA from 2 species
CGUCGAUCUAAUCCUGGGGCUUCAGCCGGGCGUGGGGUAGUGCCCCCAGACGACCGUGUCCUAGGUGGGCGGGUAAAACUCGAGCGGCGGCCUGUCAUCGUUCAAGUCGGACAGCCCGCACCGAAGCAGGCGAUUAUUGCGGCACGGACAAGCAUGCGGUACGGACAAUCAAUGGAAUGAUCUGCCUCGA